AGAUAACCACAAAACACCUGGUAUUCUGUCCCAGAGUUAGAAGAAAACACUUAUUUGUUUAUGGUUGGUUUUAUGUUGCUGUCUUAAUCUGCCUCAGUUCCACAUAUUUGCGAAUCACCCAAACCAAUGAAAAACUUCUUUUUGGAGUCAUUUGGGAUGUUCAGCACAAGUUUGGUGACACUAUAACAGUGGAACAAACCCGCUGAUGGAACUCUAUGAAAAAUAUAAAGGAGUCAUCAGCAAAAAGGGCAAUACUGCUGUAAUUAACAAGGGGCCAUCUCAAUAGCCAAAAAAGAAUGUGGUGACAAGUGAAAAUUAAGUAUAAAAACAUUUUCCAGAGUGGUGUCAGUCUUGGUAGGCCCAUAUCUUUCAGUGUGUGGAGACACUAUAUGCCUGCUAGAUUCCCCAACUCAAGAUGCCCAAGGCUUUCCUGACCCAUAUGAUGUCCAUUUGUUUUACAAGUGUCAUCUGCUUAUUGGCACUGAAAGUCAGAAACUGGACAUUGAGUGCUGAAAGUUAAAAAAGUUGUAGUUGGAGAUAAAGAAACUAGAGAAGGAUUUGCCUUCGCAAGACCUUCAGCAUCACCAACACUGUACAAGUAUAUCCCACAUGCAAAGAAAUGCAGGUCUAUGCAGACAGACUGAACAGUGGUCAAGGCUUGGCUACAAUGCUCAUCAGGGAAGCCCAGUGGAUUACGUCUGUCUCUGAAGACCCUUGGGACUGGUGGUGUAAAAGCUCUGUAUAGAAUCUGAACACCUUCAUCCACAGGGUUGAUGUGGAUUGGACGAGCCAUAGUUGGUUGUUAACUGGUCUUUAGAUGCACUGCUUAUAUAGCCUAGGCCUAUGACAACCUAUUGAAGACAGUGAAAGUGGUUAGACAUGAUUUUCUUAACUUGUUUAUUUUUUUAAUAUGUUCUUUGGAAUUAAAUAUGUAAAUUCAUGCUUGGUCACAUUGUGACAAAAAGGUCUGAACUCAUGUUUCCGAACAUGGACAUGAUGCAAAAGUGAUGCAAGCGUGAAAAGACACCUUAUGGAACUGUCUUUUAGGAUUAUGUUUCAGCCUGUUGGAAAUUCUUUGAAACACAGCUAAAUGAAGUUUGACAGAUACGCCACGGAGCAGGCUAAUUCAGCAGUAUAAGUUACCUUAGUUACUAAGCAGGGAAAUCUGUAAGCCACAGUAAUAGAACCAACUCACUUAAAUUAGCGAGACAUGUGAAAAUAAACCAGGAUUUUCCUUUAUCUGUCUUAAUGGAAUGGGGCUCAGGUCUCUCUUGAAAAAGAUUUUAAUCUCAAUGAGACUUUUUACCUGGUUAAAUUAAGGUGGAAAAAAAGAAAAAGAUCAUAUAUAUCAUACCUGUGUGCAAAUUUGGAGCAGUUUAUACUCUGAAAUAGGUGGGUUAAAUCAAAGUGGAUGGAGCAACAGAGGCUAAUAAGCUACAUUAGCACAACUAAAUAAAAUGCUAUAAUUGUACUAUUAUAGAAUUUACUAUAUGCUAUAAUAAUGUCAAUUAACAUAACUGAGAAAAUAGUUUGAAAAUGUUCAGAAGUGGGUCAUCUUAAUGAAAGCUAUCUUCAUCUUAUCUCCUUAUCUGGAUAUUGAUUCUAUACUGUGCAUAGACACACACAUGGUGAUGAAUAGCUUGUAAACCUAAUGACCACUCAACAUGUGAUACCUUUUGUCUCCCUGUCUAUUUCUCUUACAUGUGUGAAAUUUUAUGCUCCUUAUGUUGCUUCAAAAAAAAAAAAAGGUAGAAACCUGAAGACGGAU